rnacentral:sRNA from 1 species
AACAGACACCGGCGAGUCAUCGAGCUCUUGCAAACCACCGUCCUGCUUCUGGAU